rnacentral:rRNA from 1 species
GAUGAACGCUGGCGGCGUGCUUAACACAUGCAAGUCGAGCGAAGCGGCUGAAUUGAUUCUUCGGAUGAUUUUCAGUUGACUGAGCGGCGGACGGGUGAGUAACGCGUGGGUGACCUGCCCCAUACCGGGGGAUAACAGCUGGAAACGGCUGCUAAUACCGCAUAAGCGCACAGAGCUGCAUGGCUCGGUGUGAAAAACUCCGGUGGUAUGGGAUGGGCCCGCGUCUGAUUAGGCAGUUGGCGGGGUAACGGCCCACCAAACCGACGAUCAGUAGCCGGCCUGAGAGGGCGACCGGCCACAUUGGGACUGAGACACGGCCCAAACUCCUACGGGAGGCAGCAGUGGGGAAUAUUGCACAAUGGGGGAAACCCUGAUGCAGCGACGCCGCGUGAGCGAAGAAGUAUUUCGGUAUGUAAAGCUCUAUCAGCAGGGAAGAUAAUGACGGUACCUGACUAAGAAGCCCCGGCUAA